rnacentral:rRNA from 1 species
CCCUUAGAUGUUCUGGGCUGCACGCGCGCUACACUGAAGCGUUCAACGAGUAUUCACCUUGCCCGGGAGGGUUGGGUGAUCUUUUGAAAACGCUUCGUGAUGGGGAUAGAUUAUUGCAAUUAUUAAUCUUCAACGAGGAAUUCCUAGUAAGCGCGAGUCAUCAGCUCGUGCUGAUUACGUCCCUGCCCUUUGUACACACCGCCCGUCACACCUACCGAUUGAAUGGUCCGGUGAAGUCUUGGGAUUUUGUUUUGUUUGCAUUUAUUUGUAUCGAGACGAGAGAACUUGAGUAAACCUUACCAUUUAGAGGAAGGUGAAGUCGUAACA